GUCCAGAUGAUGAUUCCCCAAUAGGACGAAAUGCGUAUCCUGGAU
rnacentral:hammerhead_ribozyme from 1 species